rnacentral:rRNA from 1 species
UACGAAGGGAGCUAGCGUUGUUCGGAAUCACUGGGCGUAAAGCGCACGUAGGCGGAUGUGUCAGUCAGGGGUGAAAUCCCGGAGCUCAACUUCGGAACUGCCUUUGAUACUGGCGAGCUUGAGUUCGGGAGAGGUGAGUGGAACUGCGAGUGUAGAGGUGAAAUUCGUAGAUAUUCGCAAGAACACCAGUGGCGAAGGCGGCUCACUGGCCCGAUACUGACGCUGAGGUGCGAAAAGCGUGGGGAGCAAACAGG